UGGCGAAGUGGUCACACCUGUUCCCAUUCCGAACACAGAAGUUAAGCACUUCCGCGCCGACGAUAGUUCCAAGGAGCAAAAAUAGGUCGUUGCCAGGC
rnacentral:rRNA from 1 species